UACGGAGGGUGCGAGCGUUGUCCGGAAUCAUUGGGCGUAAAGGGCUCGUAGGCGGUCCGUCACGUCGGGAGUGAAAUCCUGGGGCUUAACCCCAGAACUGCUUCCGAUACGGGCAGACUAGAGGUAGGUAGGGGAGAAUGGAAUUCCUGGUGUAGCGGUGGAAUGCGCAGAUAUCAGGAGGAACACCAGUGGCGAAGGCGGUUCUCCGGGCCUUACCUGACGCUGAGGAGCGAAAGCGUGGGGAGCAAACAGG
rnacentral:rRNA from 1 species